GUCCCUUCGGGGACAUUCGAUAAAAUUGGAACGAUAUAGAGAAGAUUCGCAUGGCCCCUGCGCAAGGAUGACACGCACAAACUAUUGUUUGAUUGUUUUGUU